rnacentral:rRNA from 1 species
UAGGGAAUCUUCGGCAAUGGGGGCAACCCUGACCGAGCAACGCCGCGUGAGUGAAGAAGGUUUUCGGACCGUAAAACUCUGUUGUAAGUCAAGAACGAGUGUGAGAGUGGAAAGUUCACACUGUGACGGUAGCUUACCAGAAAGGGACGGCUAACUACGUGCCAGCAGCCGCGGUAAUACGUAGGUCCCGAGCGUUGUCCGGAUUUAUUGGGCGUAAAGCGAGCGCAGGCGGUUUGAUAAGUCUGAAGUUAAAGGCUGUGGCUCAACCAUAGUUCGCUUUGGAAACUGUCAAACUUGAGUGCAGAAGGGGAGAGUGGAAUUCCAUGUGUAGCGGUGAAAUGCGUAGAUAUAUGGAGGAACACCGGUGGCGAAAGCGGCUCUCUGGUCUGUAACUGACGCUGAGGCUCGAAAGCGUGGGGAGCGAACAGGAUUAGAUACCCUGGUAGUCCACGCCGUAAACGAUGAGUGCUAGGUGUUGGAUCCUUUCCGGGAUUCAGUGCCGCAGCUAACGCAUUAAGCACUCCGCCUGGGGAGUACGACCGCAAGGUUG